UUUUUUUCUUUUUUUUUUUUUUUUUUUUCUGAAAUUAGUAAACAGCAUUUAUUCUCAGUCUUACCUUCCAAAAGUUCCACUUGGAACAUUGCUGGGCAGUGUGGAAACAGAAGUAAACGUCAGCCAGGCCGCCAGGGGGAGGCAGACCCCACACUUCUCCGCACGCCCUUCCCUCCUGUGGGAGCGAGUGUCCAGCUGCCAAAACCUGUCGCGGUUUGACUUCAGCCAGCAGAUGGUUCAUGUCCUUCUGAGGCCGCAAAAUUCGGGGUGAAAGGAGUGGGGCGUGCGGCUGAGAGUGGGGAGAGCAAUCCAGGGGCGCCAGUGUGGGAGCUGCAGCGGGUCUGUGGUCGCCUGGAGGACACUGAUGCUUCUGGAGCUCGGGAGGGGUGCGGCUUCCACUCAGUGGGAUGGAAACUUCAGUUCUCCAUCCCUGAAGACUUUUCAGCUCAAUAAGAAUUCCCCUUUUUUGCUUAAUCCAACUUUAGUUGGAUUUUCUGUCACUUGCAAGAGUCGUGUUAGAUACAACUCUAUUCUGUAUUAUUAUCAGGAGCUGCCAUGAUGGAGUGCUUAGCAUGUGCUCGACACUGGAUGCACUUUCUUAUUGUUUCUCCCCCAGCAACCCUGCAGCCCCCAUUUCAUAUGAGAAAACAAUCAACGAGAGCUCAUGACUUUUCUAAGUCCCAACAGCCAAUAAGUGGGAACCAGGGUUCUAAUUCAGGUCUGCCUGUGCCAUUCUGCACCUUCUCUGAGCCUCAGGUUCCUCAUUUGUAAAACAGGAACAAUAAUAUCUAAGUCUUAGAGGUUUGUAGUAUUUAAAUUUUUAUAAAUGCAAAACACUGGGAGCAGCCUGGCACACCCAAAGGUAUUCCUCGUUUGCCAAGUUUCCUUUUAGUUGGUCUCAGUGUUCCCAGACUCGGGAGUACAGAAAGGGGGAUCAAGAAACCAAGGAGGAUGAGGUCUUAAAAAUAGUAGGAAAAGCACAGAAAAAGGAAAGGAAAGCAAACUUUGCAAUUAUCUAGACCAGUGGUUUUUAACCUUUUUGUUAAACAAAAAAAACCAACAAACAAAACCUUUCUUCAAAUGACAGCUUAUGCAAAAGGCUGAUGUGGAAAACACCACUUGAACAUGCUGGUUUUACAAAUGAGGGGUUGGAGUCAAGUGGUACAAAGAGGUAACAUGCCUUGUCCAGGUCUGUUUGGCUAGUGGCAGAGUCAGAACGGUUUUCUAGGGCUCCAGAC
rnacentral:lncRNA from 1 species